rnacentral:rRNA from 1 species
AGCGUACACGGUGGAUGCCCUGGCAGUCAGAGGCGAUGAAGGACGUGCUAAUCUGCGAUAAGCGUCGGUGAGGUGAUAUGAACCGUUAUAACCGGCGAUUUCCGAAUGGGGAAACCCAGUGUGUUUCGACACACUAUCAUUAACUGAAUCCAUAGGUUAAUGAGGCGAACCGGGGGAACUGAAACAUCUAAGUACCCCGAGGAAAAGAAAUCAACCGAGAUUCCCCCAGUAGCGGCGAGCGAACGGGGAGGAGCCCAGAGCCUGAAUCAGUGUGUGUGUUAGUGGAAGCGUCUGGAAAGGCGCGCGAUACAGGGUGACAGCCCCGUACACAAAAAUGCACAUAUUGUGAGCUCGAUGAGUAGGGCGGGACACGUGGUAUCCUGUCUGAAUAUGGGGGGACCAUCCUCCAAGGCUAAAUACUCCUGACUGACCGAUAGUGAACCAGUACCGUGAGGGAAAGGCGAAAAGAACCCCGGCGAGGGGAGUGAAAAAGAACCUGAAACCGUGUACGUACAAGCAGUGGGAGCCUCUUAAUGGGGUGACUGCGUACCUUUUGUAUAAUGGGUCAGCGACUUAUAUUCUGUAGCAAGGUUAACCGAAUAGGGGAGCCGAAGGGAAACCGAGUCUUAACUGGGCGUUAAGUUGCAGGGUAUAGACCCGAAACCCGGUGAUCUAGCCAUGGGCAGGUUGAAGGUUGGGUAACACUAACUGGAGGACCGAACCGACUAAUGUUGAAAAAUUAGCGGAUGACUUGUGGCUGGGGGUGAAAGGCCAAUCAAACCGGGAGAUAGCUGGUUCUCCCCGAAAGCUAUUUAGGUAGCGCCUCGUGAAUUCAUCUCCGGGGGUAGAGCACUGUUUCGGCAAGGGGGUCAUCCCGACUUACCAACCCGAUGCAAACUGCGAAUACCGGAGAAUGUUAUCACGGGAGACACACGGCGGGUGCUAACGUCCGUCGUGAAGAGGGAAACAACCCAGACCGCCAGCUAAGGUCCCAAAGUCAUGGUUAAGUGGGAAACGAUGUGGGAAGGCCCAGACAGCCAGGAUGUUGGCUUAGAAGCAGCCAUCAUUUAAAGAAAGCGUAAUAGCUCACUGGUCGAGUCGGCCUGCGCGGAAGAUGUAACGGGGCUAAACCAUGCACCGAAGCUGCGGCAGCGACACUAUGUGUUGUUGGGUAGGGGAGCGUUCUGUAAGCCUGUGAAGGUGGCCUGUGAGGGUUGCUGGAGGUAUCAGAAGUGCGAAUGCUGACAUAAGUAACGAUAAAGCGGGUGAAAAGCCCGCUCGCCGGAAGACCAAGGGUUCCUGUCCAACGUUAAUCGGGGCAGGGUGAGUCGACCCCUAAGGCGAGGCCGAAAGGCGUAGUCGAUGGGAAACAGGUUAAUAUUCCUGUACUUGGUGUUACUGCGAAGGGGGGACGGAGAAGGCUAUGUUGGCCGGGCGACGGUUGUCCCGGUUUAAGCGUGUAGGCUGGUUUUCCAGGCAAAUCCGGAAAAUCAAGGCUGAGGCGUGAUGACGAGGCACUACGGUGCUGAAGCGACAAAUGCCCUGCUUCCAGGAAAAGCCUCUAAGCAUCAGGUAACAUCAAAUCGUACCCCAAACCGACACAGGUGGUCAGGUAGAGAAUACCAAGGCGCUUGAGAGAACUCGGGUGAAGGAACUAGGCAAAAUGGUGCCGUAACUUCGGGAGAAGGCACGCUGAUAUGUAGGUGAAGCGACUUGCUCGUGGAGCUGAAAUCAGUCGAAGAUACCAGCUGGCUGCAACUGUUUAUUAAAAACACAGCACUGUGCAAACACGAAAGUGGACGUAUACGGUGUGACGCCUGCCCGGUGCCGGAAGGUUAAUUGAUGGGGUUAGCGGUAACGCGAAGCUCUUGAUCGAAGCCCCGGUAAACGGCGGCCGUAACUAUAACGGUCCUAAGGUAGCGAAAUUCCUUGUCGGGUAAGUUCCGACCUGCACGAAUGGCGUAAUGAUGGCCAGGCUGUCUCCACCCGAGACUCAGUGAAAUUGAACUCGCUGUGAAGAUGCAGUGUACCCGCGGCAAGACGGAAAGACCCCGUGAACCUUUACUAUAGCUUGACACUGAACAUUGAGCCUUGAUGUGUAGGAUAGGUGGGAGGCUUUGAAGUGUGGACGCCAGUCUGCAUGGAGCCGACCUUGAAAUACCACCCUUUAAUGUUUGAUGUUCUAACGUGGGCCCCUUACCGGGGUUGCGGACAGUGUCUGGUGGGUAGUUUGACUGGGGCGGUCUCCUCCUAAAGAGUAACGGAGGAGCACGAAGGUUGGCUAAUCCUGGUCGGACAUCAGGAGGUUAGUGCAAUGGCAUAAGCCAGCUUGACUGCGAGCGUGACGGCGCGAGCAGGUGCGAAAGCAGGUCAUAGUGAUCCGGUGGUUCUGAAUGGAAGGGCCAUCGCUCAACGGAUAAAAGGUACUCCGGGGAUAACAGGCUGAUACCGCCCAAGAGUUCAUAUCGACGGCGGUGUUUGGCACCUCGAUGUCGGCUCAUCACAUCCUGGGGCUGAAGUAGGUCCCAAGGGUAUGGCUGUUCGCCAUUUAAAGUGGUACGCGAGCUGGGUUUAGAACGUCGUGAGACAGUUCGGUCCCUAUCUGCCGUGGGCGCUGGAGAACUG